GAUGAACGCUAGCGACAGGCUUAACACAUGCAAGUCGAGGGGCAGCAUAAAAGUAGCAAUACUUUGGUGGCGACCGGCGCACGGGUGAGUAGCGCGUAUGCAACCUACCUAUCAGAGGGGAAUAACCCGGCGAAAGUCGGACUAAUACCGCAUAAAACAGGGGCACCGCAUGGUGAUAUUUGUUAAAGAGAUUCGCUGAUAGAUGGGCAUGCGUUCCAUUAGGUAGUUGGUGAGGUAACGGCUCACCAAGCCGACGAUGGAUAGGGGAACUGAGAGGUUGGUCCCCCACACUGGUACAGAGACACGGACCAGACUCCUACGGGAGGCAGCAGUGGGGAAUAUUGGUCAAUGGGCGAGAGCCUGAACCAGCCAAGUCGCGUGAAGGAAGAAGGAUCUAUGGUUCGUAAACUUCUUUUGCAGGGGAAUAAAGUGCGGGACGUGUCCUGUUUUGUAUGUACCCUGAGAAUAAGGAUCGGCUAACUCCGUGCGAGCAGCAGCCGCCG
rnacentral:rRNA from 1 species